GGGGAUUUAGCUCAGUGGUAGAGUGCUUGCCUAGCAAGCUCAAGACCCUGGGUUCGAUCCCCAGCUCCA
rnacentral:tRNA from 1 species